GAGGCGCCUCCCCCGUGCUGCGCCGACCGCCAGACCGCCGGGAUGCGGCUGGCGCGGGCCGCGCCGCACGCCCCCCUUGCCCCCUCGUCCGUGUCCGCCUCACAGCCCAGCCCUGCCCGCCACGGCGCCCCGCACACGGACCCUGCGCCCCGACCCGCCGCUGUCCUCCCCAGGGCGCCUGUGGUGCAGCCUACUCCGCCCCGUGCCCCCGUCCUCCACCGUGCCCCACUGCCCCUCACAGCUUCCUGCACCCCCAGCCCCUCACACGGUCCAAUGCACCCCCAGCCGCUCCACAGUGCACCCCCACACACACUGCGCACACCCCUCUCGGGCAGCAUCACGCAGACAGCGCUCCUGGGGCAUAGUUUGUUUUGGACAAGUAUCUUUCUCUCCGGUCCUGCCAUUGCAUUAGCAGCGUGACCACCUCAUAAACUUCAUUGCAUUUAUCCGCUGAAAUUUACGCCCUGAAAUUUCAAAUGUGUUAGUGUUAAUGAGGUUUUUAAAAUUGUGGAGAUUCAUAGAUUGUAAGGGAAGGGACCUUGGAAGAUCACCGGGUCCAGCCCCCUGCACCAAACGGGCAGAUGACCCCAGCGAGGUGACCACCCAGUCUCCUCUUGAAGAUUUCCAGGGGUGUUUUCAGCACAUUCUUGGCAACAGAGACCAUAUGAGAAGGGGACAAGAUUCUGUGGGAGUCGACAUUUACAGGGAAAGAAGAGUUGCCCAUCGCUACUCUCUGGGUCUUAUUGGAAUGGAGUGAUUGGUGUGUAGCCUGGCAGUGCUAUAUUCCCACACGCACCUGUAACUCGCAUGCAUAUGCAAAAUUCCCAAACUUGGACAAACUCUGAACUCUGACCUACCUUACUGACAUGUACAUACAGCGUAUCUUAAAAAUAAAAGUAUGCACACUUG